rnacentral:tRNA from 2 species
UGGGGUGUAGCCAAGUUGGUUAAGGCACCGGAUUUUGAUUCCGGCAUGCGAGGGUUCGAGUCCUUCCACCCCAGCCC